rnacentral:rRNA from 1 species
AUCUAAGAGAUUAGACGUUCCCUUCGGGGACAUGGAUACAGGUGGUGCAUGGUUGUCGUCAGCUCGUGUCGUGAGAUGUUGGGUUAAGUCCCGCAACGAGCGCAACCCUUAUUAUCAGUUGCCAGCAUUAAGUUGGGCACUCUGGUGAGACUGCCGGUGACAAACCGGAGGAAGGUGGGGAUGACGUCAAAUCAUCAUGCCCCUUAUGACCUGGGCUACACACGUGCUACAAUGGAUGGUACAACGAGUUGCGAACUCGCGAGAGUAAGCUAAUCUCUUAA